rnacentral:rRNA from 1 species
UACGGAGGGUGCAAGCGUUAUCCGGAUUCAGUGGGUUUAAAGGGUGCGUAGGCGGGCAGAUAAGUCAGUGGUGAAAUCGCCGAGCUUAACUCGGAAACUGCCGUUGAUACUAUUUGUCUUGAAUACUGUGGAGGUAAGCGGAAUAUGUCAUGUAGCGGUGAAAUGCUUAGAUAUGACAUAGAACACCAAUUGCGAAGGCAGCUUACUACACAGCGAUUGACGCUGAGGCACGAAAGCGUUGGGAUCAAACAGA